AAAUCCCUGCUUUGUUUGUCAGCAUUCUGACAGUCUUCGAACCAGCAAACAAUAAAAGGGAGCUGAUAGCCCAUCUUGGGAUGAGAGCCUUGCUCGUCCUGGUUCCUGAACAAGCUGGUGAAGCACCCACCUGGACAUAACGGGUUCGAAAGAUGUUGAAUCGACGGCAAAAGCAGGGUUUUU
rnacentral:other from 1 species